rnacentral:rRNA from 1 species
CCUACGGGUCGCACCAGUGGGGAAUAUUGGACAAUGGGCGGAAGCCUGAUCCAGCAACGCCGCGUGAGGGAUGACGGCCUUCGGGUUGUAAACCUCUUUCAGUACCGACGAAGCGUGAGUGACGGUAGGUACAGAAGAAGCACCGGCCAACUACGUGCCAGCAGCUGCGGUAAUACGUAGGGUGCGAGCGUUGUCCGGAAUUAUUGGGCGUAAAGGGCUCGUAGGCGGUUUGUCGCGUCGGGAGUGAAAACAUCCAGCUUAACUGGGUGCUUGCUUUCGAUACGGGUAGACUUGAGGUAUGCUGGGGAGAAUGGAAUUCCUGGUGUAGCGGUGAAAUGCGCAGAUAUCAGGAGGAACACCGGUGGCGAAGGCGGUUCUCUGGGCAUUACCUGACGCUGAGGAGCGAAAGUGUGGGGAGCGAACAGGAUUAGAUACCCUGGUAGUC